UAAAAAAUUGACACAUUUUUCAGAUCAGUGUCCGAAUUCCGAGCACACACUUCUUCGGAGAGAAAAAAAUUUCGUAUACUAUCAAUAAAGAAAUUUUCUUCUCUUCAAAGAAAAGUGUUCUCGGAAUUCGGCCGCAGAUUACGUUAGCAACAAUAAAUGCAAUCACUAUUGUCUUCAAUCCGUUUUGCACACAUUUAUUUUUCAGGCGAAAAAAAACGAUCUUGCCAUCCUAAGGAUCGAUUCAGCAGAAGAUCGCGCGCAGAGAAAUCGAUUCAAAAAAUCGAUGAAUCGACCCGAAAAGAUCGAUUUUGCAAAAAUCGGAUCGAUCUUGCCCAUUGCUUAUAUGUAUAAGUCAAAAGUUUUCAACAGCGAUAUUAUCUGUUUUCGAAGAACAAUUGGUGUCGCUUUUUAUUCGUUUGCUAGCACCCAACAUCAUUAUUGCAGAGGAUUUGAAAACAUAAAAAACAUCUCUUCAAAAUGAACAACCGCAUGUUGUGUGUCCUGCGAUGCCGUUUUAAGUCGGGCUUUUAUUCGUGAUAAUGAACGGAAACAUUUGUAUCGAUGUACAGUGCCCAAUACAUGCAAUCGAUACAAUUUAAAUCCUUCGCAGUGUUUGGUGACGGAUGAUGACGGAUUUUCUGCUGUGCGUACUGUACAAAAACAUGAGCCACAGUUCACGGGCAACUGUCAACCGGUUGGUUGCCGCAUUAUAUAAAGACACGUGAAUGAUUUAAAACUUUUAUAAUGUUUCGAUGAAAAAUAAAUCUAUGAUUUUGAUUGUUCUGAA